rnacentral:rRNA from 1 species
GACGUAGGGAGCGAGCGUUGUCCGGAUUCAUUGGGCGCAAAGAGCGCGCAGGCGGUUUGGUAAGUCGGAUGUGAAAACCCGGGGCUCAACCCCGGGCGUGCAUCUCGAUACUGCCCGACUAGAGGUAGGUAGGGGAGAUCGGAAUUCCUGGUGUAGCGGUGAAAUGCGCAGAUAUCAGGAGGAACACCGGUGGCGAAGGCGGAUCUCUGGGCCUUACCUGACGCUCAGGCGCGAAAGCUAGGGGAGCGAACAGG